rnacentral:misc_RNA from 1 species
UGUCAAUUUGAUGCUUCUGGGAAAGGCAAGUGCGAGACUGGUGAUUGCAAUGGGCUUCUUGUUUGUCAAGGCUACGGUGCAGCCCCUAACACCUUAGCCGAAUACGCACUAGACCAGUUUGAACACCAAGAUUUUAUCGAUAUCUCUGUGAUUGAUGGGUUUAACGUUCCUAUGGAGUUUAGUUCAGCUUCAGGAAGCUGCACCAGAGUGAUCAAAUGCACUGCUGAUAUUAUUGGGCAAUGUCCUAAUGAAUUGAAGGUCCCUGGAGGGUGCAAUGGUCCAUGCCCCGUCUUCAAGACUGAG